rnacentral:misc_RNA from 1 species
GAUGAAGAACGCAGCGAAAUGCGAUACGUAGUGUGAAUUGCAGAAUUCAGUGAAUCAUCGAAUCUUUGAACGCCCAUUGCACCUCUCGGUAUUCCGGGAGGUAUGCCUGUUCGAGCGUCAUUUGUACCCUCAAGCUCUGCUUGGUAUUGGGUGUUUGUUCCGCCUCUGUGUGUGAACUCGCCUCAAAACAAUUGGCAGCCGGCGUACUUGUUUCGGAGCGCAGCACAUUUUGCGAUCCAGAUCAACGUACAGCGGCAUCCAAGAAGCCUUAUUUAACGCUCUUGACCUCGGAUCAGGUAGGGAUACCCGCUGAACUUAAGCAUAUCAAUAAGCGGAGGA